rnacentral:lncRNA from 1 species
GGAAUCCUGAAUGGGAGCAGACUCUAAAGUACAGUCUUGCCAUCAGUGCCUUCACAGGGAUGAGCCAUCUCUUUUCUGCAGACCAAGCAUUUUCAUCAGUGAAAAUAGUCUGUGUGCAGAGAGUGAUGGCGCAUGCCUUGUAACCUCAGCAUCCGGAGCCUGAGCAAGAAGAUCCAGAGUUUAAGGCCAGCCUCAACUACAAAGUGAAAUGCUAACAAAACAAAACAACAACAACAAAAGCAAUCAAAGUGCUGCUUUUCAGUCAGGCCAUUGUUUUCCUUUUUCCCUUUCUGUGGUGCUGAGGUUUAAUCUCGAGGCCUUUUUUCUGCUAGACAGGUGUUCCGUGAUGAGCCACGUCCUGAGCCUUUACUUUUCCUUGAGACAGGAAUUUCUGUGUAGCAUAGGCUGGCCUCAAAUUUAUAAUUCAUCUGCUUCCUGAAUGCUGGAUUACAGAUGUGUACAGUACCAUUGUGUCUUGUCCCAAGGGAUUAGGAAUAAUUCACCCAAGCCUCCAUUGAAUACUUCAGUAUUUCUGACCAGUGCUUGGGAUCUCUCAUAAUUCCCUUUUCUUCUUAACCAAGUGACUUUGCGUCAAGAGAGUGCUACUGUCCUAUGUCUACAAGGCCAGAUUGCAGUCGUCUUCCUGGAGAAAGCUUUAAGCUGAUUCUCAGCAUGAGAAUCAGGGUCUGGCUGGCUCAAUGCCAUCCAGAGCCUCUCUAUGAUGGUGGGUGGCUGACACAAAAUACAGGGAGUAUGCUUUGCCGACACCUUCAACUAGGUAAGGCCCUGCAGUGCACACUGUGGAGCCUGUCUACCUGGUGACCAAAGUGUACGCCAACUUGAAGCACGAGAGCUAACUGUCCUAUCAUAUAUUCCAGACCAGCUAAUGUGGUUCUUCAACCUAGGGACUCAUACAGCUAAGUAUGUGUGACACUGCUCCCUGUCUCAGUCAGAACCUACCAGGACCUAUGUGGUAGACAGUCAGGGGUUGCUGCUAGACUUCAGUGUACUGAGCAUAUAGCACUGCCAGGUAGAUGGAGGUUUAGUUUUGAAAGCCUUGCCUUAGUUUCUGUACUCUUCCUCUUCAAAAGUAUUCUGGCAACCAUCUUGGGUCUAUUACUCUAUCUCCAACACUAAGAACAUCUGUCAACCUGGUCUCUGAAGCAUGGUUUUGGAAUUGCUCCCAACUUAAGACUCACCUUUUAGUAGAAUCAAUGCAUGGCUUCACCUUUCAGAUUAAUUCUAGAAACAUCUUUCAGUUGGACAUUGCCUGCAGUGCCAACAAUGAAGCCUUAGAUGUGGUGUUGGAGUCAAAUACAUACAUGUGAGUUUGAUUAUUUUCACUUAAUACGUUUAUAGGUUGUCCCUGCUUGUCUUUUGUUGGUCGGGUGGGAAGCUCUACCAGAUUACUGAUUGCUUUUAAAUGUGCUCUUUAGUUCACAGUUCCUUUUGGAAGAACUUUGCAUGCAUUAAUAUGCACUAACAUAUUCUGAAAACUUUUUUUUAUUAAAGAGCUUCCUUACAAUGAAGGA